CACGUAGGGUGCAAGCGUUGUCCGGAUUUAUUGGGCGUAAAGGGCUCGUAGGCGGUUCGACAAGUCGGGUGUGAAACCUCCAGCUCAACCUGGAGUCGCCACUCGAAACUGUUGUGACUAGAGUCCGGUAGGGGAGCAUGGAAUUCCUGGUGUAGCGGUGGAAUGCGCAGAUAUCAGGAGGAACACCAGUGGCGAAGGCGAUGCUCUGGGCCGGUACUGACGCUGAGACGCGAAAGCGUGGGAGCGAACAGG
rnacentral:rRNA from 1 species